rnacentral:rRNA from 1 species
UACGUAGGGACCAAGCGUUGUUCGGAUUUACUGGGCGUAAAGGGCGCGUAGGCGGCAAAUUAAGUCAUCUGUGAAAUCUCCGAGCUUAACUCGGAACGGUCAGGUGAUACUGAUCUGCUAGAGUGCGGAAGGGGCAAUCGGAAUUCUUGGUGUAGCGGUGAAAUGCGUAGAUAUCAGGAGGAACACCAAUGGCGAAGGCAGCUCACUGGGACGGUAUUGACGCUGAGACGCGAAAGCGUGGGGAGCAAACAGG